CACGUAGGGGGCAAGCGUUGUCCGGAUUUAUUGGGCGUAAAGAGCUCGUAGGCGGUUCAGUAAGUCGGGUGUGAAACCUCCAGGCUCAACCUGGAGACGCCACCCGAUACUGCUGUGACUAGAGUCCAGUAGGGGAGCGUGGAAUUCCUGGUGUAGCGGUGAAAUGCGUAGAUAUCGGAAGGAACAUCGGUGGCGAAAGCGGCGCGCUGGAUCCCUUCUGACGCUGAGGCGCGAAAGCCAGGGGAGCGAACGGG
rnacentral:rRNA from 1 species